UCAAACUUGGUCAUUUAGAGGAAGUAAAAGUCGUAACAAGGUAUCCGUAGGUGAACCUGCGGAUGGAUCAUUAAGGAUUGAACUACACAGUCCACACCCUGUCGUCCACGAAUGUCUAUUGUUGGCGCCGGAACGCGGCCGGCUGCGUGCGCGCAGCGGGCAAGCAGUGAAAGCGCCAACCUCAUUAACCAUACGCAAGCUUUGUAUCAUUCUGUGAACACAACUUAACACAAACCUAUACAACUGCUAGCAACGGAUCACUCGGCUCUCGCAUCGAUGAAGAACGCCAGC
rnacentral:misc_RNA from 1 species